ACCUUCACGGUAAUAAUUUUGUCUUCUUUCAGACUUAUCACAUACUGCUACCACAUUCUCUAAAGGGAAUGGAGCAAGUUCAAUUGGACGGAUUUUUAAUUCUUUGCCCACAAUCAUACAUGAAUUUAAUCAUGGCAAGACAUAGAAAUUUUACCACUUCACGUGGUUAUAUAUUUCUUGUAAACUCUGCUGGAGUUUAAGUGGAUCUAACAAUAUUAUCCACUUGUAAUCCAUUAUUAAGAUAAUUAAUAAAUAACAAAUAUGAAACAAUAUUGAAAUACACUACGCAGAAUAAAGAACAAGUUUAGACAGUAACAGACUAUAUCGCAAUGAAGAAUAAACACCAGAUAUGAUGAGUGCUUGAGCAGUAUAAUUGAGAU
rnacentral:lncRNA from 1 species